UACGUAGGGGGCAAGCGUUGUCCGGAUUUAUUGGGCGUAAAGAGCGUGUAGGCGGCCUGAAAGGUCAGCUGUGAAAACUCGAGGCUCAACCUCGAGACGUCGGUUGAAACCAUCUGGCUAGAGUCCGGAAGAGGAGUGUGGAAUUCCCGGUGUAGCGGUGAAAUGCGCAGAUAUCGGGAAGAACACCCGUGACGAAGGCGGCACUCUGGGACGGUACUGACGCUGAGACGCGAAAGCGUGGGGAGCGAACAGG
rnacentral:rRNA from 1 species